UUUAUAUACGUAUGUGUCUUAUACAUUGCACUUAGGACGCGUUUAGUUUGCACUAUAAAAGAUUACUAGAAAUAAAAAGUUGUUCGAGAAUUUUAUUUUUAUUCAUUCUAUUAUUAAAAAUGUGGUAUUUCUAUAUUUAGUUCGCACGCUCAUAUUAUUUAGUCGUGUUAUUUAAGAUUACAAAAAAAUAUAAUUUAUUUAUUUAUUAAAGUUUAGAUAAUAUUAUCAAAAAUUUCAAUAUCUUUUUAGAAAAAAUGGAAAGAGAAUAUAGGUUAGAAAGAGAGAGAGCAUAAUUAAAGAAAUAGAAAGAGAAAUAGAGUCGAGGUCAGAGAGAGUGAGAGAGUUGGGAUUUAAAAAAAAAAAAAAGAUCAGGAAGAGAGAGCUUAGUUUAGAAAGAGAAAGAUAAGUUUAGAGAGAAAUAUGAUGUUAGAGUGUAAAGAAAAAUAAUACCAAUUAGUCGGCGGGUAGGAAGAAAGAAAGAUAUUAGAUAUUUUAUGAUUACUCAAAAUCAUUAAUAUGAGGAUACCCACUUUCUUUUAAGGGAAUGAGAUUAGUACUUUGUAUGAAUUUCAUUCUCAAGUAAAUCGAAUUUUAAAUAUCUAAUAAUCACAAAAUAGAUAGUAUCGAACUAUUAAUAAUAUUUCAGUAUAAUUAUAUAAACAAAUAUAACAGUCCGUA
rnacentral:lncRNA from 1 species